GUUUGCUUUGUCUUGUCAAGUUUUGUGUGUUUGUAUUAAAAAGAAACCAUGAAGAUUGAGUGCAAUGAUUCCUUUCGAUCAGGUCAAGUGUCUCACUCACCAUCAUUUAUACUGCAGGAAUUAUUACCAGUUUGUAGAGGAAUUAAUUUCUCUGCCUGAAGCCAUGUAUUUACUUUAUGAGAGCAUUAUGGAUAAAGGUAGACAUUCUUUUUGCAUUCUGUUGCCAUUUUCACACCUACCAACACGGGAUGUAUUAAAUCAGAACAGAUAGGAGGCCCUUCAUGGAUGCAUUGACAAUGUCACUGGUGAUGUCCAUACUGAGUGGGCCUGUCUGGAGUGUUUACCCACUGAAGGGGAUUGUCAAACUGGCGUCAAGCACAGUCUCCCAGCUGGCUACCCCACAAAUAGGAACAUGAUACGAAUGAUCGAA